UACGUAGGGUGCGAGCGUUAAUCGGAAUUACUGGGCGUAAAGCGUGCGCAGGCGGUUGUGCAAGACAGAGGUGAAAUCCCCGGGCUUAACCUGGGAAUGGCCUUUGUGACUGCACGGCUAGAGUGUGUCAGAGGGGGGUAGAAUUCCACGUGUAGCAGUGAAAUGCGUAGAGAUGUGGACGGAAUACCGAGUGGCGAAGGCAGCCCCUGGGAUA
rnacentral:rRNA from 1 species